ensembl:lncRNA
UCAGGGACAGGACAGUCAGUGACAGUCACCAUGGGCACUGCCCACCGCUGGGGCAUCCUUGCAUGGGGACAGGGACAGUGAGGGACAGUCACCAUGGGCACUGCCCGCCGCCGGGGCAUCCCUGGGACAGGGACAGUCACCAUGGGCACUGCCUGGGCAUCCCUGGGACAGGGACAGGACAGUGACAGUCACCAUGGGCACUGCCCACCGCCGGGGCAUCCCUGGGACAGGGACACUCAGGGAGGGUCAGGGACACUCAGGGACACCCAGGGACACUCAGGGACACCCAGGGAGGGUCAGGGACACUCAGGGACACUCAGGGACAGCCACCACGGGCACCACUGCAGGGAUGGGACACUCAGAGACAGGACGAGGCACCGCCACCCGUCACAGCCCCACCUCAUUUUGGGAUCACCCGCCCCGAACCGGCUCGGAAAGCUCCCGGUGCCGGUUUCGCUUUCACUCCAUUCCCGGCGGGAAUCCCGCCGCGAUCCAGGGAUGAACCGGCACCGGGGAGCGCGGCUCAGCCCCCGGAACCUCCUCCGGGACAUCCCAAAGCUCACCCGCAGCUCCCGGCGGGCACCGGCGGCUCCGGGACCACGGGAUCCCGGCGUUAACCGGGACAGGGCACGCCUGGGCGGUGUCCCUGGAAUUGAGCAGGAAACGAGGGGAUGAAGCCCGAGGGGAUAAUUAAAUAAUUAUUAGGGGAUAUUAAACAAUUAGCCGACACCAAAUCCCGGCUCCCGGAUUCCUCAGGAAACAUCCCAGUGCAGCCAGUGGGGUGGGGAAGGGAAACCGGGAUGGGGAGAGCGGCUGGGAACUGGAGAAAGGGAACCGGGAACCGCGGGCACCGGGAAAGGAUCCCCGGGAUGGGGAAAAGACCCCCGGGAACGGGAAAAGACCCCUGGGAUGGGGAAAAGAGCUUUUCAGGACCUGGAAAAGGUCCUUGGAGGCUGGGAAAAGAGCCUGGGAAAUGGGAAAAGAGCCCCGGGAAAUGGGAAAAUAGCACGGGAAAUGGGAAAGGAGCCCCGGGAAAUGGGAAAAGAGCCCCGGGAAAUGGGAAAGGAGCACCGGGAAAUGGGAAAGGAGCCCCGGGAAAUGGGGAAAGAGCCCCGGGAAAUGGGAAAAGAGCCCCGGGAAAUGGGGAAAGAGCCCUGGGAAAUGGGAAAGGAGCCCGGGAAAUGGGAAAAGAGCCCCGGGAAAUGGGAAAAGAGCCCCGGGAAAUGGGAAAGGAGCCCUGGGAAACGGGAAAAGAGCCCCGGGAAAUGGGAAAAGUCCCUCCGGGAAGCAGCUGAGGCACCGAGCGGAGGGAAGGGGAAGAGCUCUGGAACACGGGAUCACGGUGCCCGGGCACGGUGAGUAACCAGGGCAGGGCAGGGCGGGGCUGUGUCCCCCUGUCACUGUCACCAGGGCACGGCUUCCAGGGCACUCCCACAGACAGCGGCGGGACAGCGGGGUGGGACACGGGAUGGGACACGGGGAUGGGACACGGGGAUGGGACAGGGGGAUGGGACACGGGGAUGGGACACGGGGAUGGGACACGGGGAUGGGAUAUUGGGAUGGGAUAUUGGGAUGGGAUAUUGGGAUGGGAUAUCGGGAUGGGACACGGGGAUGGGAUAUUGGGAUGGGACAGGGGGAUGGGACAGGGGGAUGGGAUAUCGGGAUGGGAUAUUGG